AGUAUGUCUUUAUUAGCAGCAUAAGAACAAAAUAAAACAGAUGGAGAUGAAUCCUAUGAAGGCUAACUACAAGAUAAGAGGUUAGAGAGUAAAUGAGGAGGGGUAGAGUGGCUACAUAAUAGAAAAUGGUCCAUAAAUGCCUCUAGCAUUAGGUGAUAAUUAACUAAAACCUGGAUGAGUUGUGGAGGCAAGCCGUGCAGAUAUCUAGGAGAUAAUAAUUUCCUGAAGGGUAAUCAGGAAGUGUGAGCAUUCUGAGGUAGAGUAUGCCUAACAAAUGUCUUAUAAGACAGCAUAAGAAGGCUAGUGGGUCUGGAGUUCAGUGAAUGAGGAGACAAUGUUGAAUUCCCUGUGUCCUGGAAGUGAUCUUUCUUUCCAGAAUCCUUCUUCAAGGAAACUCAACUUCCACUUCUUUUUGGAAAAAGGGUGCAAAGGAAGGUACUUUGGAAUGAUAUCAUCACAGGAGGAACAUGGAAGUUCUACAGCACAUGUAAGAUAUGUGUUCUUAGUCACUGGCUCUUUGGAGAGUAUCUAGGCAUGGAGAUUUUAAUGACCCAGAGCAGUAGAAGACAGAGUUGAAUUAUUUCAUUGUCCUCAAACAUCAUGCAUAGGUGUCUACUGGAGACAUCACAUACCAAGUGGCUUUGCUUGAUCAAUGCCUGAAACCAGGACAUGCCAACCAGUAUUGCUCAACACUUGCAGGCAUGGAAAUGAGAUGAUGAGAGAUGGAUAACACCCACACACAGACUUUGGUUCUAUAUAAAACUUCAAGUGUUUAGAUUUGACUUCAGAGAAAAGAGUGUUGGGUUAAAUUAAGUCUCAGCCACUCCAGCAGCAAAGAGUUUUAAAUUUAUGGUAAGCCCUCUUCUACCUUAUCUAGCAGGUAUGAAGUCAAUGUAACUAAAAUUGUCACUUAUUUGUCUUGCUUCUCUUAGUCAUAGUGGGUAAGCAAUCACUUUCUUCCAUAUUUUUCUUCGAUACCUAUAGUAGCUAAAAAAAGGUAAGUUACUUUUGAUGGUUCAGUAAAUGACACUCAAAUUUACCCUGCCCACAUCUAUUCUGAAUGUCCCUGAUUCUGCUUCUCAAGAGAGUAUGGACUUGGCUGAGAAUCCGUAUUGAUGCUGCUUAGAUUCAUUAAAUUCACAGUAAUCUCUUCUCCAACCUUCAGAAGAUGCUCAAAAACCUGGCUGAUGAGGUCCUCCAAUUUCUAACAUUGUUAAUAGUCUACUCUAAACUACUUAAGAAUUCAACCAUAGCCAAUAAUUUUCCUUUAUUUGAGAGAAAUAAUAGCCCCAAAGGCUGGGUCUUUAAGAAGUUUUAAAUUACAUUUCUUCCUCUGAAUCUCUUGCAAGCUCUUGUGGCUGUACUCUGGCCCCAGGGGCUUUCAAAGAUUUUGCUUGUGACUCCACAGUAAGGUAUAUUCAAUAGAUACCAAAAAUAAUAAAAUUAUAAAACAGCAUCUUUACUAUGAGUGGUACACUCUAACAUUUUUCUUUUCUAUUCUAUUCCAUUCUAAUGAUUUUUAUAUCAUUUAAAAAUAUUGGUUAUGACUAGACUGACAAUAAUGAGUGUCUCCAGGAAAAUCCUGGCUUAUCUUUGUUAAUUCCACAUAAUUAUUUGUACCAUUUAUGUUUCUCUGUAAAAUGUUUCAUGUUGUAUAAUAAAUUAUUUGGUUAUCCCAGUUAAAAUUCACUAAAUUGAUUUCUCAGCAUACUAACAGUUGUAAUUCAAAUAUUUAGGUAUUUGUCUUCUGAAUUAGACAUUUGUUUCUCUGAAAACAUCUCCAACUUUUCAUAAUUUGUCAUCCUCUCCCAUAGACUGAAUUUGUUUUGUAAUUUUCUGAAAUCUUAACCUGUUUCUUGGUGAUGUGCACAGGACUGGGCUCUAAGCAUUUUGUUGAUACCCUAUGAUUCUUACAAACUCAGAUACAAGUGUCAUUGAAUUGUCAGAACGUAUACAAAUUUUACUUUUUCAUUUUUAAAAUAAUUAAGUGAUUUAGGAAUGUGGUAUUAAAAAUCACCUUACACAUCUUAUAAUUUCUUUGCUUUACUUUUGAAAUGUCUUUGAAAUUCAUCUCUUUCAUAAAAUUAUAAAAUUUGAAAUUUCUUUCCUUAGGUAAAUGCUAUACAAGUGCCAGCUAGAAAAAUCCCCAUUCACAAACUUACAGUACUUUCUACUCAUUUGCCUUUAUUGUUGGGUCUAAUUUGGGUGAUUUUUGGCCUUUGCUGUACAGGCAGAAGUUGUUACGAAUAAAA
rnacentral:lncRNA from 10 species